GACGAACGCUGGCGGCGUGCUUAACACAUGCAAGUCGAACGGAAAGGCCCCUUUGGGGGUACUCGAGUGGCGAACGGGUGAGUAACACGUGAGUAACCUGCCCUUGACUUCGGGAUAACUUCAGGAAACUGGGGCUAAUACCGGAUAGGAAUCCUUGCUGCAUGGUGGGGGUUGGAAAGCUUCGGCGGUUUUGGAUGGACUCGCGGCUUAUCAGCUUGUUGGUGGGGUAGUGGCUUACCAAGGCUUUGACGGGUAGCCGGCCUGAGAGGGCGACCGGCCACAUUGGGACUGGGAUACGGCCCAGACUCCUACGGGAGGCAGCAGUGGGGAAUAUUGCACAAGGGGCGGAAGCCUGAUGCAGCAACGCCGCGUGCGGGAUGACGGCCUUCGGGUUGUAAACCGCUUUCAGCAGGGGCGAAGCUUGUGGUGACGGUACCUGCAGAAGAAGCACCGGCUAACUACGUG
rnacentral:rRNA from 1 species